UACGUAGGGGGCAAGCGUUGUCCGGAUUUAUUGGGCGUAAAGAGCGUGUAGGCGGCCAUACAGGUCAGCUGUGAAAACUCGAGGCUCAACCUCGAGACGUCGGUUGAAACCGUAUGGCUAGAGUCCGGAAGAGGAGAGUGGAAUUCCCGGUGUAGCGGUGAAAUGCGCAGAUAUCGGGAAGAACACCCGUGGCGAAGGCGGCUCUCUGGGACGGUACUGACGCUGAGGCACGAAAGCGUGGGGAGCAAACAGG
rnacentral:rRNA from 1 species